rnacentral:misc_RNA from 1 species
AACCUUAUGGACCUGCGGGCGUAUACCUGCGGAAGGAUCAUUACAUGGCGGAGAAGGUGGGCACCUGGCCAAAAAAAACUCCAGGCUGUCAUGCCUUCACGCUCUUCCACCCUUGUCUAUUUGUACCUUUUGUCGUUCCCUCGGCGGGUUUCGACCCGCCGGCGGUAACCAUUGAAAACCCUUUUUGCAGUUUAGCAUCCAAUUCUUCUGAUCAAAUAUCAAAUCGUUACAACUUUCAAC